CCCGGGGAGCUGUGGCGGCGACGAGCGGAGUUGGGAAGGCGCGGCCCGCAACAGUUAUGGAAGGAAAUGGAAAAACUUCUGCAUCAAGUCAUCUGAAAUUUCGCAUACCAAAGAAGAAACCAAACACAAAGUCAGAGGAUGUCCAUGUUCAGUCCCCUUUGUCAAGGCUCACAGAGUCCCAUCAAUGGGACUGCCCUUUACAAGAGUGGAAAUUAAGGGCAAGAAAUCAAGAGCCUUAUCCACAGUGGAAAAGACAAAGGGACUUUGACAGACCCAGCUUCAUUGGCGAAGGACCAACAAUUGGUUAAACCCAGAAGGUCGGGAGCUGUCUCGCUAAGAUUUACAACUGGGAGACUGCAUCCUUCACCCCAAACCAGUGCUACAGUGACAUCUUCAGCCAGAGAGGGAUGUCUGGGAUGAGAAAGAGACCCACCCUCACUCCAUGGGGAAGCCCUUG
rnacentral:lncRNA from 1 species